rnacentral:rRNA from 1 species
CACGUAGGCACCAAGCGUUGUCCGGAUUUAUUGGGCGUAAAGAGCUCGUAGGCGGUUCAGUAAGUCGGGUGUGAAAACUCUGGGCUCAACCCAGAGACGCCACCCGAUACUGCUGUGACUUGAGUACGGUAGGGGAGUGGGGAAUUCCUGGUGUAGCGGUGAAAUGCGUAGAUAUCGGGAGGAACACCUGUGGCGAAAGCGGCUCACUGGACCACAACUGACGCUGAGGCGCGAAAGCUAGGGGAGCAAACAGG